AUUCAAUAUAUUCCACUAUUUAAACACCCUCUGCGUUCAGCUUCGCAAAAGUGCUAGAGAGAAAUCCCUCUGCAGCGUUCUUAGCUUUGUGAAGUCUCCCAGAUAUGAUCGGUUGUGAGGUAUAAAUUGCCCCAACUGAAAGUGCUUCUUCCAACCAGAACUGGCACAAAUCAGACAGGACGGUGUGAGGGUAAAGUGCUCCAAAACUGACUACAACUCCUCAUGCAGCUUCCUGGUUACUCGGCAGGAAGCCAUAAAGUGAAAG